AUUUGGGACUAAAUAAAUGGCACUGCUGCACAAUUCAUAUCUUUUCUCCCCUUACACUGGCCCUACUUUGUUGAUUUGUGUAACCUACAGAGCCCCUUGUAGACAUCUCAGUGUGAGACCUCUAUCCCUUUUUCCGAAAAGUUCUCUCCUUCCAUCCAUGAUGGCUGAGUCGAUUCUCAGACUAGUUCCAAUGUAUUCCCUUGAUGUAAUCAUCAGAUCUGUCUUCCCUCGGCACCUUACUAGGGGAUGCUUCCCCUUCUCUACGACUAGGUACAAUUUCCAACCCAGACUUCGAUCCGACAUUUUCAUACAUUCUCCUCAGAUUAUAGUAGUUUACAAAAUCUUAUCAUUUCUGUGUACUUUUCUAGGUCCUAAGAACUGUUUCUCCUGGAAUAACCUGUUGUCACUCCCUGAUCGAACCCUAAUGCAGAUUUACAUUGAUUCCAUUAACUGGAAUUUAAGAUUACCACAAAGACACUUUGGGCUCCUUCUAAUAAGAAGAGAGUUACAGUGCUGCUGGGGUGAUUGAUGGCCUAUCAAGAUGAAAUCAGUCUACUAGUCUAUAACGGAGAUUCCCUUGUAUCUAGAUGUGGACCUGUUUUUGGAUUUUGGCUGGUCAGAUGUAUGUCAAAGUCUGGGGAAGCCUUCUGAGAAUGUUUUGUUUAUGAAAUAGGUUGAAUUGGGUUUGGCCUAUUGCUCUUCUUCCUGCCCCAAAUAUAGAAAUGAAACGUUCAUCUUGAAAUCAGGGUAAUAGAAGCAAUGUGCUAGGAUGGUAGAGCUCAAAUGAGGAAAAUAAUCUAUUUUCUAAUAAACAUCUUUUGGUAUUUGAACUAACCUUCA
rnacentral:lncRNA from 13 species